AACGAACGCUGGCGGCAGGCUUAACACAUGCAAGUCGAACGCCCCGCAAGGGGAGUGGCAGACGGGUGAGUAACGCGUGGGAACGUGCCCUUCGCUUCGGAAUAGCCCCGGGGAACUGGGAGUAAUACUGAAUACGCCGUAUUGGGAAAGAUUUAUCGGCGAAGGAUCGGCCCGCGUUGGAUUAGCUAGUUGGCGGGGUAAUGGACCACCAAGGCUACGAUCCAUAGCUGGUCUGAGAGGAUGAUCAGCCACACUGGGACUGAGACACGGCCCAGACUCCUACGGGAGGCAGCAGUGGGGAAUCUUGGACAAUGGGCGCUAGCCUGAUCCAGCCAUGCCGCGUGAGUGAAGAAGGCCUUAGGGUUGUAAAACUCUUUCGCCGGAGAAGAUAAUGACGGUAUCCGGAGAAGAAGCCCCGGCUAACUUCGUGCCAGCCGCCGCCGUAAUAC
rnacentral:rRNA from 1 species